AGAAAGGAAGGGGCAAGCGCCGAAGAAUUGUGCUUAAACCAUGUUCAUCCGAUGAGUCUGAAAGUGGUUCAGAAGACUUUCAUGUGCCGGGGGUAGCUGUCAGCCUUCAAAGAAAUGCAUCGAUAGGAACAAGUCAGGUAAGAGCCUUGUCGUCAUCCACACCACAGCUGCAUCGAAGUGCCUUGUCACCGGCACCACAGCUGCAUAAAAAUGCCUUGUCGUCAGCCACGCCUGAGCUCCAUCAAAGUGGUAAGAAGAGUUUGUUUAGUAAUUGCUGUACGGCCUUUUUCAUACUCCAGAAGUUAUAUUUAGUCUUCUUUUCACUCCUCUCGGAGCCUUGUCGUCCUCGCCUCAGCUGCAUCACAGUGGUGAGGAGAGACUGUUUAGGAAAUGCUGUGCAUAAUUUUUUUAUUUCCAGCAGUUACAUUUAGUCAUUUCAAUAUCUCUUAUAGCCUUGUCACCCA
rnacentral:lncRNA from 1 species